UCCAAUGAUGAUAUACCCAUGUUUUUUGAGAUGUAACUAGCUUCAAGUCCCUGUUUUUAGGGAGAAUUUACUUGGAGUUGCUGCAUUCUUGUUUGAAACUCCUAGAUUUUUCUGAGCU